rnacentral:rRNA from 1 species
UACGGAGGGUGCAAGCGUUAUCCGGAUUCACUGGGUUUAAAGGGUGCGUAGGUGGGCAGGUAAGUCAGUGGUGAAAUCUCUGGGCUUAACUCAGAAACUGCCAUUGAUACUAUCUGUCUUGAAUACCGUGGAGGUCAGCGGAAUAUGUCAUGUAGCGGUGAAAUGCUUAGAUAUGACAUAGAACACCAAUUGCGAAGGCAGCUGGCUACACGGAUAUUGACACUGAUGCACGAAAGCGUGGGGAUCAAACAGG